rnacentral:piRNA from 1 species
AAAUUGUUUUUGUGGGGAUGGGG